ACGUGUGUCACGGAGUGACUUUGUAAGGGCGGAACUAAAAAAUGACGGAGAUUGGUUCCGCCCGGACCAUAAUUCUCAAACACCGGGAACUCCGGGAAGGGAAAUCAGGGUUUUAUUGAUCGCAGGUGGAUAGAUGAACGGGGCGAUCGUGGAUUGGGCAGUAUGAAGAGAAGGAGGAGUAUAAAGAGGGCCUCAGAAACUGCAGAGGAGGGGGAAAGUUCUUUGUUUUAUUUCAGCCGAUACGGCGAGAGAGUUGGAGCGUUUGGGCGAGUACAGAGGAAAGAAGGCAGAGGAUAUUGUUGGCUGGGCAAAGACGGAGACAAGGGUUUGGCAGAAACAGACACCGGGCUGAGUAUAUUGGAAUGUCUACUUAACUGUGAAAUGCUCCAUGGACAUGUGUAACAAAUUCUGAGUGGUUGAAAACAGGAAGACUCACCGGAAGUAUCGCCGAAGGAGGCCUUUUCGACAGGGCACGUGGCAGCAGGAGAAGUAUCCAGGAGCUGGAAAGAAGAGGGAAAAGAGACCUCGUGUAGUAACGGUGUGAGUACCCUAAACCAUCGUACAGCAGUAUAAUCAUCUAGAGUGAACCAUCUGUGAGCGUUUUGUGAGUUUGUGGCAUAGUAUGUGAGCGGCCCCACCGUGGAGGAGGAUUGUGGGUGAGCCGGGACCAGUGAGUGAGAGAGGAUGUUGGGCUGUUGUGGCGGCAACGUUUAAAUCUGAAUAUUCGUGGCAUCAGUGUCUUCACGACUCCCAGGAAGAGUCUUUGGUCAGACGGGGUGUUGACCCUAAAUUCACCAGAGUGUGUGGAGUGCAGUGGGUGAGUCUUUGUCCUUUGCUGUGAGUGUAUACACUUGAAAAUUGCAGUGUUGUGCUGUGUUGUGUCGUCAACAACCACCUUUCAGGCCCGACGAAAUCCUGUGAAGGAAGUGAAUACCGAGGCGGGCGAAGAAAACAUCUCCAACUAUAUGCCGUCGAUGACAUCCUGACCCUUCUUCCCCACGUGACGGUGGUGGGAAACAAUUUCAAGUAAGAACAGUGUGGAUCUAUUGGGAAGUAUUAAUGGUGAGGAGUUGGCUGCUGUAGGAGGAAAUCAGCUGUGCGUGUAUUAUUACCUGCUGUGGAGUUCUUCAAAGGUUCGCCCCUGUCUAGAUCUCUUGACUUGUCGGUUGGUAGAAAGAAGAGGGAAGCGUUCGACCCAUCCAGUGUAGUACACCCCGGGUGAGACAACUUACCUGUGUGUGACGCCAGCGGAGGCCGUGUUCGGCCCAACGCAACAGUUUUCGAUCCGCCUCUCUAUCAGCAGUUGGUAGAAGCCUCAGAAAAGGAACGUCUGACGUCUAUUCCCUCGAAGAUCUAGCGGGUCCCUUUGAAGCGUCUACCUGCAUGUCGACUCGUCACUCAGGAUACAGAGACCGUGGAAACCCCCCCCCCGUACACUUACCAGUACGGUUUUAGUUGGAUCCCGGCAGCCCUUGGGCAGUUCCCCCAGCAUCUGGACGACCGGGAGUAUAAUCCGCUGGGUCGCCUCGGAGUUCGUCAAAAGUAGCAGCAGGUAUCCAUUGUGCAUCCAAACUCUCAAUACUUACCACUUGUAUCUGUUACUUCGUCAAAAGUAGCAGCAGGUAUCCAUUGUGCAUCCAAACUCUCAAUACUUACCACUUGUAUCUGUUACGUCCAGGAAAGGAGAGG
ensembl:lncRNA